CUGCAAUGAUGGUAUUUCUUAGGACACCUUUGAAUUAUUCCUGAAAACAGCUGGUAUCUGAGCAGC